GCAAAUGCAUACAUACAUACAUACAGCUACAUUUGCACAUAUUUAGGUAAUGGUGUGUGUGUGUGUGCGUGUGUGUGCGUGUGC